GAUGAACGCUAGCGGCAGGCCUAAUACAUGCAAGUCGGACGGGAUUCAGGAGCUUGCUUCUGAUGAGAGUGGCGCACGGGUGCGUAACACGUAUGUAACCUACCUUUAUCAGGGGGAUAGCCUCUCGAAAGAGAGAUUAAGCCCGCAUAAAAUCACAGCACAGCAUUGUGUAAUGAUCAAAUAUUUAUAGGAUAAAGAUGGGCAUGCGGAACAUUAGCUAGAUGGCGGGGUAACGGCCACCAUGGCGACGAUGUUUAGGGGAUCUGAGAGGAUGGCCCCCCACACUGGUACUGAGACACGGACCAGACUCCUACGGGAGGCAGCAGUAAGGAAUAUUGGUCAAUGGGCGGAAGCCUGAACCAGCCAUGCCGCGUGCAGGAAGACGGCCCUACGGGUUGUAAACUGCUUUUAUACGGGAAUAAACCCAGAUACGUGUAUCUGGCUGAAUGUACUGUAAGAAUAAGGAUCGGCUAACUCCGUG
rnacentral:rRNA from 1 species